AGUGAACGCUGGCGGUAGGCCUAACACAUGCAAGUCGAACGGCAGCACAGUAAGAGCUUGCUCUUACGGGUGGCGAGUGGCGGACGGGUGAGGAAUACAUCGGAAUCUACUUUUUCGUGGGGGAUAACGUAGGGAAACUUACGCUAAUACCGCAUACGACCUACGGGUGAAAGCAGGGGAUCUUCGGACCUUGCGCGAUUGAAUGAGCCGAUGUCGGAUUAGCUAGUUGGCGGGGUAAAGGCCCACCAAGGCGACGAUCCGUAGCUGGUCUGAGAGGAUGAUCAGCCACACUGGAACUGAGACACGGUCCAGACUCCUACGGGAGGCAGCCGUGGGGAAUAUUUGACAAUGGGCGCAAGCCUGAUCCAGCCAUACCGCGUGGGUGAAGAAGGCCUUCGGGUUGUAAAGCCCUUUUGUUGGGAAAGAAAAGCAGCAGGUUAAUACCCCGCUGUUCUGACGGUACCCAAAGAAUAAGCACCGGCUAACUUCGUG
rnacentral:rRNA from 1 species